AGCGAACGCUGGCGGCAGGCUUAACACAUGCAAGUCGAGCGGAGAUGAGGUGCUUGCACCUUAUCUUAGCGGCGGACGGGUGAGUAAUGCUUAGGAAUCUGCCUAUUAGUGGGGGACAACAUUCCGAAAGGAAUGCUAAUACCGCAUACGUCCUACGGGAGAAAGCAGGGGAUCUUCGGACCUUGCGCUAAUAGAUGAGCCUAAGUCGGAUUAGCUAGUUGGUGGGGUAAAGGCCUACCAAGGCGACGAUCUGUAGCGGGUCUGAGAGGAUGAUCCGCCACACUGGGACUGAGACACGGCCCAGACUCCUACGGGAGGCAGCAGUGGGGAAUAUUGGACAAUGGGCGGAAGCCUGAUCCAGCCAUGCCGCGUGUGUGAAGAAGGCCUUUUGGUUGUAAAGCACUUUAAGCGAGGAGGAGGCUACCUAGAUUAAUACUCUGGGAUAGUGGACGUUACUCGCAGAAUAAGCACCGGCUAACUCUGUGCCAGCCGCCGCAGUAAAAC
rnacentral:rRNA from 1 species